rnacentral:rRNA from 1 species
GACGAACGUUGGCGGCGUGCUUAAUACAUGCAAGUCAACUGAAGCAGUGGUAGCAAUAUCGCUGUGGAGGUUGCGCACGGGUGAGUAACACGUAGGUAAUCUGCCUUCAGGUCUGGCAUAACUCCGGGAAACCGGGGCUAAUAGCAGAUGAUGCAGCGGCUCGACAUCGAGACAGUUGUUAAAGCUAUGGCGCCUGCAGAUGAGCCUGCGUCUGAUUAGCUAGUUGGCGGGGUAACGGCCCACCAAGGCAACGAUCAGUAGCUGGUCUGAGAGGAUGAUCAGCCACACUGGAACUGAGACACGGUCGAGACUCCUACGGGAGGCAGCAGUAAGGAAUAUUGCUAAAUGGGAGAAAUCCUGAAGCAGCAACGCCGCGUGAGGGACGAAGGGCUUUUGCUUGUAAACCUCUGUAGUGAGAGAAAAAAAUCCCAAUCUUUGGGACAUGAUGGUAUCUCAAAAGUAAGCCCCGGCUAACUACGUG